rnacentral:rRNA from 1 species
AUGGCGGCGGCCUUCCCCGAGCUUGGCGAGCUGGAGCUGUCCCUUCCCGUCAUCGUUCUGCUCUCCGCGACGCCGCCUGCCUUCCCGGACCAUCCCCUCUCGCUCACCCGCGACUCCCUCCCUGGAGCAGCCAUUCCCGCCCAACCCAAAGCCGCCGGCCGGAGCUACGCCGCAGCACGCUCCCUCCCCCCUCUUCUUGGGGACCGGAUUGUGGCCGAGGAGGAGCUUGUCCUUGUCGCCCAGCAGCUCCCGCUCCAACGGGCUCGUCCACAAGUCCGGCAGCACCAGCCGCUCUUCCCUCUUCCGGAAGCAGAUACCGUUUUUCUUGGUGAGCGUGGUUUUGGAACAGCCAUGUCUUCUCUAAUUUUGACAGUGCUUGAGUUUAGAGUAUGGUUAUACUUUUGCUUAGGGAAAUACUUUGGCAUGGAGUACAUUGUGGCUCUGAAAUCAUUUCUGAAGCAGUGA